rnacentral:rRNA from 1 species
CACGUAGGGGACGAGCGUUGUCCGGAAUCAUUGGGCGUAAAGCGCGCGUAGGCGGCCACCGCAAGUCGACUGUGAAAUCUCCGGGCUUAACCCGGAACGGUCAGCCGAUACUGCGGGGCUAGAGUGCAGAAGGGGCAACUGGAAUUCCUGGUGUAGCGGUGAAAUGCGCAGAUAUCAGGAGGAACACCGGUGGCGAAGGCGGUUCUCUGGGCCUUACCUGACGCUGAGGAGCGAAAGCAUGGGGAGCAAACAGG